AUUCAGCUGAUGAGUCCCAAAUGGGACGCAACGCGUGUCUUUGAU
rnacentral:hammerhead_ribozyme from 1 species